GAUUUCUGCAAAUCUCCAUGGUCUGAGCCCACAUUCCUCUCGGCUGAGCAGUGGAGUCUGUUCAGCAUCUCUUAGGGUCAUGCUUGAUUACAGCAGCGGAAGGACAUACUAUCCUUGCUCUCAGGAGCAAGGGGAAAGGACUCAGGGAACAGUGACCCCUGAACCAGGAUGGAAUGAGAAAGAAGCACAAACUGUGGAGUGGCUCUGCAUGUCAUCUUUCCAGCUCCUCAUUCUCCCCAGGAGAAGGAAAGCGGGUCCCAAGAGGUUAAACUUGGGGAUCCCAUGGCUCACCGCUGGUCAGUGGUGGGACUGGGGCAACGAUGCUCAUUGCCUCACUUCCGGGCCAGGGCUCUAGUCCCGCUUGGACCUGGAGAUGUGCUGGUGCCCCGGGCACGGUGGACUGCAGGGCUGCCCCGGAGAGCCCAGGUGUGCGAGCCUGGAGAGGCCUGCAGGAUUCGUGGAUUUCUGCCUGCCUGCUGGAUGGAACUGCUUCUCUGGGACACAACCGCCUGAUCCCGCAGGAAGGAGGAGUCGCUUGUUGGUUUCUCUUUGCAUUGCAGGAAUAGCAGUAACAACAACAGAAGGGGGUCCAAGAGUGGAGCAUGAUGCUGUAAAACCUCUGGAGAUAAAGAUGUUACAACCCAGGACUUCCCUAGUGGUCCAGAGCUUAAGAAUCUGCCUGCCAAUGCAGGGCACUCUGGUUCCAUCCCUGGUCUGGGAAGAUUCCACAUGCUGCGAAGCAACUAACCCCCUUGUGCCACAACUUCUGAAGUCCACGCGCCUCAGAGCCUGUGCGCCACAACAAGAGAAGCCGCCACAAUAAAAAUCCUGCACACGGCAACGAAGAGCAGCCCCCAUUCGACGCAACUAGAGAAAGCCGGUGCGCAGCAACAGAGACACAGUCAGCACUGCCCCCCGCCCCCGCAACUCCCAAAUAAAAUAGAAUCCAGUCCUCUUAAAAAAGAA
rnacentral:lncRNA from 1 species